rnacentral:rRNA from 1 species
UACCAGACUCCUACGGGAGGCAGCAGUCGGGAAUAUUGCGCAAUGGAGGAAACUCUGACGCAGUGACGCCGCGUAUAGGAAGAAGGUUUUCGGAUCGUAAACUAUUGUCAUUAGGGAAGAAAAAAGACAGUACCUAAGGAGGAAGCUCCGGCUAACUACGUGCCAGCAGCCGCGGUAAUACGUAGGGAGCAAGCGUUAUCCGGAUUCACUGGGUGUAAAGGGAGCGUAGACGGCCAUGCAAGCCUGGAGUGAAAGCCCGGGGCCCAACCCCGGGACUGCUCUGGGAACUGUGCGGCUGGAGUGCGGGAGGGGCAGGCGGAAUUCCCGGUGUAGCGGUGAAAUGCGUAGAUAUCAGGAGGAACACCGGCGGCGAAGGCGGCCUGCUGGACCGCGACUGACGUUGAGGCUCGAAAGCGUGGGGAGCAAACAGGAUUAGAUACCCUUGUAG